GGGCGGGAGAAAAGUUUUAAAGAGGCAGAGGAGGCCAGAAAGAGGGGAAGGCACAGCCGAGAGAACAUGGCCGCAGAUGUUAAGAUUUCUCUCUGCACAUUUACAGCCCUUGCUCCCUUCCAUGCUGUCAACAUCUCAGCAGCUGUCCUUGAUGCCUCUAAUGGACUCCCUUCCUACCACGUUCUUCACAAAGCCUCAUACCACCUACCUGUUUGUUCUUCUGUCGUGUUGUAAGGUGCAGAUGACCCGAUAAGACAUUUGGGAAAUGGCCAGAGCCCUUUAAGCAUUCACCUCUGCUUCCUGUUCACCAGCAUUCACCUCUGCUUCCUGUACACCAGCAUUCACCUCAGCUUCCUGUACACCAGCAUUCACCUCUGCUUCCUGUACACCAGCAUUCACCUCUGCUUCCUGUACACCAGCAUUCACCUCAGCUUCCUGUACACCAGCAUUCACCUCUGCUUCCUGUUCACCAGCAUUCACCUCUGCUUCCUGUUCACCAGCAUUCACCUCUGCUUCCUGUUCACCAGCAUUCACCUCUGCUUCCUGUUCACCAGCAUUCACCUCUGCUUCCUGUUCACCAGCAUUCACCUCUGCUUCCUGUUCCACCAUGAUGGAAGGUGGAGGCUGUCAGGUUCACCAAUCCAAGGAUGGCACCACCUGUAGUGGACUGGGCCCUUCCAUAUCCAUCAGCAAUCAAAAAUAAAACAAAAAACGAAAACAAAAACAAAAAA